CCUACGGGCGACAGCAGUGGGGGAUAUUGCACAAUGGGCGAAACCCUGAUGCAGCGACGCCGCGUGAGUGAAGAAGUAUCUCGGUAUGUAAAGCUCCAUCAGCAGGGAAGAAAAUGACAGUACCUGACCCAGAACCCCCGGCUAACUACGUGCCAGCAGCCGCGUUAAUACGUAGGGGGCAGGCGUUAUCCGGAUUUACUGGGUGUAAAGGGAGCGUAGACGGUUAUGUAAGUCUGGAGUGAAAGCCCGGGGCCCAACCCCGGGACUGCGUUGGAAACUGGGUAACUGGAGUGCAGGAGGGGUAGGCGGAAUUCGUGGUGUAGCGGUGAAAUGCGUAGAUAUCAGGAAGAACACCGACGGCGAAGGCAGCAUGCUGGACUGAAACUGACGUUGAGGCUCGAAAGCGUGGGGAGCAAACAGGAUUAGAUACCCCUGUAGUC
rnacentral:rRNA from 1 species